AGGACGAACGCUGGCGGCGUGCUUAACACAUGCAAGUCGAACGAUUCCGGGUCUUCGGGCCCGGUUUAGUGGCGAACGGGUGAGUAACACGUGGGCAACCUGCCCUCCACUCUGGGAUAACUCCGGGAAACCGGGGCUAAUACUGGAUACGACCUUCGGCCGCAUGGCUGGGGGUGGAAAGUUUUUCGGUGGAGGAUGGGCCCGCGGCCUAUCAGCUUGUUGGUGGGGUGAUGGCCUACCAAGGCGGUGACGGGUAGCC
rnacentral:rRNA from 1 species